AUGGUAAGAUUUGUUAUAAGCAUAUCCAAUAUGUUCGUAAAUAUAUGUAUGGCUCCUGAGUUUUUGCCGUGUUUGGUUAUUAUGUCGGAGAAUUGUAACAAUUUUUUUCAUAAGUUACUGAACUUUUAUCCGAAUCAAUUUAUUCAUAAAUAUCUUGGUACACUUAUGGUGGUGUUUCAGUCCAAUUGUUUGGUUCUCACUUUGCUAAUACAGUAUUUUAAAGUAAAUAUCUUGGUACACUUAUGGUGGUGUUUCAGUCCAAUUGUUUGGUUCUCACUUUGCUAA